rnacentral:rRNA from 1 species
UACGUAGGGGGCAAGCGUUGUCCGGAUUUAUUGGGCGUAAAGAGCGUGUAGGCGGUUUGGUAGGUCCGCUGUGAAAACUCGAGGCUCAACCUCGAGACGCCGGUGGAAACCAUCAGACUAGAGUCCGGAAGAGGAGAGUGGAAUUCCUGGUGUAGCGGUGAAAUGCGCAGAUAUCAGGAAGAACACCCGUGGCUAAGGCGGCUCUCUAGUACGGUACUGACGCUGAGACGCGAAAGCGUGGGGAGCGAACGGG